UACGAAGGUGGCAAGCGUUGUUCGGAUUUACUGGGCGUACAGGGAGCGUAGGCGGUUGGAUAAGCCCUCCGUGAAAUCUCCAGGCUUAACCUGGAAAGUGCAGAGGGGACUGUUCAGCUAGAGGAUGGGAGAGGAGCGCGGAAUUCCCGGUGUAGCGGUGGAAUGCGCAGAUAUCAGGAGGAACACCAAUAGCGAAGGCAGCUCGCUGGGACGGUACUGACGCUAAGG
rnacentral:rRNA from 1 species